CACGGGUACAGAAACACAAGGUGCCACAGUGAACCCUGUGCAUUCAAAACAAACCUUCUUCUCAUCCCCAACUAUGUAGAACCAACCUUAGCUCAUCGUGGGAAUCAGGGUGUGCUACUCCUAAGUCUAGUAACACUUUUUUUUUUUUAAACACCUAUUCACUAACUUAAGAAUCCCAAAGCAACCAGAAAGUAGCUAAAGCCUAAAAUUCAACAGAAACGUUAGUGCCUCUAAGAGAAGUAUUUUUUCUCUCAGGAUCUAUGACCACUGACUUGGCAAAGCCUACAGUCAGGGGGACAGAAAACACAAAUUCCACAAGCAGAUCAUUGGGGUAAGGUAAGAAAAGCCAGCCCUACUUCUACUCCUCGGUUCCCAGGCUUAUGUAUACCAGUUAUUGUGAGCACUUUUGGUCCAGCACAGACUGUGUUCUGGUGAGUAGUACCUCAGUGUCUCAGGAUGUUGUUCCCUCCCUAUCUUUUUAGCUAAUCCUUUAACAAUGCAUUCUACUGCUUCUUCUGGUUGAUGGGUUUAUGGUAAGAACAAUGCAUCUGUUAUCAUGCAACAUUUUUCAUAGCUCCUUUUGCUGUACAAGAAUCCUUUGUUUCAAAAUAAUGUGUGGGCUACCAUGACAAUAGGUCAGGCAUUUUUAAGUCCUUAAGCUGUGAUGGUGAAAACACAGCGGGUAGGGAAGGAAGACCCAUAUUUGGAGUAGGUGUUGAUUCCCGUAAGAAGGAAUGCUUUGCCUUCUUAGUGGAAGGGAUCCAAAUUAAUUGACCUGCCACCAUGGGACUGGCCGGUCUUCUGGAGGAAGGAUGCCGCGUGGAGGGGUCACUCUUAGAGUGAGCCUGGCUUUCAGUGCAUUCUGUGCUACGGCUUCAGAAGAUGAAAGUAUCCUUCAUAGCUGUCCCAGAGGCUUUUUGGCUUUAUAGUAUGCUUAGAGUUAGCAGUUGGCUGCCCGAAGCCUAUCAUGUUCUCAUUUCAAGUUUUCCAAAAAAGAAUAGAACAAAAUCACAUUUGUUAUGAUUAUCAUUUCCCCCACAUCAUCCAAACCCUCAGCCACUGCAAAACCAGUGGUUCACCUUCUACCUGCCCUUUGUUCUGAUUAUUCACAAUUGAAAACCUUGAUGGUUUUAACCACCCCAAUUAUCACCAGCAAUGAUCUUAUUGUCACCAGAUCAAAAAGUCAUCAAGUUCCAAAUUUUCAUCUUGUUUCUAGAGCUCUGCCACCUACCCCGCCCCAUACCAACUGUCUUAAUCUGCCUUCUGCUAGAAAGCAGAGUACAAUGCAAAGAUGUAUAAUGUAUAGCUUUAUUCAGGAAUGGCAUCCCAGAGAGCAGGAUAAAGGUCAGGAAAGUGAAGAAGGAAGCAGGUUUCACUAUUAUAGUCACAGAGGAAUGUCCACCACAUGCAAAGCCCCGUGUCAACACAGAAGAACCUGGGCGGGAGGCAAGAAGUACAUGGCACAGGUAUGAGGCAGACACUGGCAGGUUGAGCCUGAGUGAAGCUGGUCAGAAUCCUUUCAGAGUGCAUCACUGCAGCCUCUGCCGAAGUAAGACUCAGGUAAAACUGAGAGGCUAUGCAGUGGUGCAUGAACAGUGCCUGAUGCAGUGAAUAAGAUUGGGAACAAGUUAAUGCAUUUAUGACAUACUAUGUUCUCCCUAAUCACUGAAAUCAUUUGUCUUACUCACCCAAACUAUUUUAUAUUACUCCCCCUAAUCAAAGGAUUGAAUGUGCCCCAGCCUUCCUGGUGAAUGAGAAAGGCCAUGAGAUCAGCUCUAAAGUCUUCGAUUUGUAAGCAGAGUUUCUUCUCCAUCUGAUUUGUAUAUGCAGGCAUCUCUCCUGUUUAUUGCCUGGAUGGAAGUGCAAACACAGCAGAGAAACAUAAUGAAUGCCUUAUUUUGAUUGUCCAAGCUGAAAGUAAUGAAAAAGCCAAACUGAUAGAAAUUAGGAAAUAUAAAUCCAAUUUACAAAAUUCUGCCAGGGCUAAUAAAACAAGGUAUAACAUCAGUUGCACAACCAAAAGACUGCUAUUUUAUGGUCAUUUUUAUGGCGUAUGAUUUUGACAUUGACAACAUUCUUUUUUAUUUUCUAGUGAUAUGAAUAUUCUACUCAAUGUUUAAAUUUAAAAAGCUGCAGAAACAACGCAAAGAGCAUAGCUCUCAAGGACCAGAAAACUGAGGCACUAAAUUAUAAAGUAUGAACAAACAAUGAUGUAUAAAACAAAGAAUUUCAGAGGCCAUAGAACUACUCCGAACUGCAGCUCAGAUAUCCUCCUUUCACACUCCCCAGUGCCUUCUACUUCCACCUGGCAUCCUAUGCAUGCCCUAGAAUAUGCCUUUUACACACUGCUGAAAAGAAUGGCACAAAGAAAUUUUCCCACAGUCUCAAUCUAAACAAAUAAUAUGGGCAGUCAUAAAGUCAAUUAUUGUGAUAAAUACAUACAUGUUUAAAGAUUACUAUGUACCAAGUCCUGAUCACAAGCAACAUAAUAUUGAAUUAAACUGACAAAAAUGCCUGCCCACAUGAAGAUUACAUGUUAGAUGUGGAAAUAUGUACUAAACACGGGAGCAAGUAAAACAGAGUAUAUGGUAUGCUGGUUGAUGAUAAAUGCUGUAGAUGUGAUAAAUUAGGGAAUGCCAGUAGGGAAUGAAGGAAAAAGGAAGAGCAUUUGCAAUUUUAAAAGUGGUGAUCAGCUGGGCAUGGUGGCUCACGCCUGUAAUCCCAGCACUUUGGGAGGCCGAGGCGGGCAGAACAUGAGGUCAAGAGAUUAAGACCGUCCUGGCCAACAUAGUGAAACCCUGUCUCUGCUAAAAAUACAAAAAUUAGCUGGGCAUGGGGGUGCGCACCUGUAGUCCCAGGUACCCGGAAGGCUAAGGCAGGAGAAUCGCUUGAAACAGGGAAGCGGAAGUUGCAGUGAACCAGGACUGAGCCACUACACUCCAGCCUGGCAACAGAGUGAGACUUCAUUUCAAAAAAAAAAAAAAAAAAAA
ensembl:lncRNA